rnacentral:rRNA from 1 species
GACGAACGCUGGCGGCGUGCCUAAUACAUGCAAGUCGAGCGAAGUUUUUCUGGUGCUUGCACUAGAAAAACUUCGCGGCGCACGGGUGUGUAACACGUAAAGAACCUUCCUCAUAGACCGGGACAACUAUUGGAAACGAUAGCUAAUACCCGAUAACAGUCUUUCUCGCAUGAGAGAUAUUUAAAAGUUGUUUAUGCUAACACUAUGAGAUGGCUUUGCGGUGCAUUAGCUAGUUGGUGGGGUAAAGGCCCACCAAGGCGACGAUGCAUAGCCGACCUGAGAGGAUGAUCGGCCACACUGGGACUGAGACACGGCCCAGACUCCUACGGGAGGCAGCAGUAGGGAAUAUUCCGCAAUGGGCGAAAGCCUGACGGAGCAACGCCGCGUGAGUGAAGAAGGAUUUCGGGUCGUAAAGCUCUGUUGUUAGGGAAGAAAGGAUAUGUAGUAAUUAUACAUGUAAGAGACGGUACCUAACCAGAAAGCCACGGCUAACUACGUG